CCGGCUCAUAAGAUCCUCAUUGUUGGGGACCCAAGUGCCUGGACCAGGCCAAGGGGUCGCCAACGUAACACCUGCCUGCAGCAGAUUGAGGAUCAUUUCCGGAGGGUUGAACUGGACCGCGUGUCUGCCUUGUGGGUUGCCAACCGGGAUCCUGAGUUGUUUCGACGUGUAGCGAGUGUGGCAGUGCACGCUCCCCAACUUGAUUGAGAAGGGUCCGGCUGCAGGUUGCACACUUGGCCUUCCACGCUCCCGGCCUUGCACAGUCUGCCCCACAACUGCCCACAGUCCGUAGAAAGAAAAGGAGAAGAGCUGCUGUAUAGUUUUUCCAAUAUGAAAAAGAAAAGGAGCUGAAAACGUUUUCCGACACGGGACAAUGUCACAAAAGAACCAGUCUCUUUUCUACAUAAAGGCAGAGAAUAUAAAAACAACUUUGAUUACAUUGAUUAAAUAUCCAAAUGAAUCCAAGUGCCCUCUUUGUAAAAAGCAAAGAAACUACAGCAUCCUGCUGCCUGCCUUCAGAGUCAUGAAGACCACAGUGUCAAGUAUGCAGGUUUCCAAAGGACCAUUUUGUGGUGUCUCUGUAUUUCAUCCUCGAGGCCCCCUUCAAUUUUAAUGAG